CUCCAGCUGCGACAGGUGCUCCUUCAGCCAGGCCAGCUCCUGCUCCAGCACCUCCACCUGAGGGACAUCUGUGGAAAGGCUGGGGAGGGGGGAAAACAUAACUGGUGGGAGAGGACUGACAUAGACAGGCAGUGCAGGGCUGCGGUGGGGCCCCGAGCCCCCUGAGCC